rnacentral:rRNA from 1 species
GAUGAACGCUGGCGGCGUGCCUAAUACAUGCGAGUCGAGCGAACGGACGAGAAGCUUGCUUCUCUGAUGUUAGCGGCGGACGGGUGAGUAACACGUGGAUAACCUACCUAUAAGACUGGGAUAACUUCGGGAAACCGGAGCUAAUACCGGAUAAUACUUUGAACCGCAUGGUUCAAAAGUGAAAGACGGUCUUGCUGUCACUUAUAGAUGGAUCCGCGCUGCAUUAGCUAGUUGGUAAGGUAACGGCUUACCAAGGCAACGAUGCAUAGCCGACCUGAGAGGGUGAUCGGCCACACUGGAACUGAGACACGGUCCAGACUCCUACGGGAGGCAGCAGUAGGGAAUCUUCCGCAAUGGGCGAAAGCCUGACGGAGCAACGCCGCGUGAGUGAUGAAGGUCUUCGGAUCGUAAAACUCUGUUAUUAGGGAAGAACAUAUGUGUAAGUAACUGUGCGCAUCUUGACGGUACCUAAUCAGAAAGCCACGGCUAACUACGUG